AUAUUGCACAAUGGGCGCAAGCCUGAUGCAGCAACGCCGCGUGAGGGACGACGGCCUUCGGGUUGUAAACCUCUUUUGGCAGGGAAGAAGCGAAAGUGACGGUACCUGCAGAAAAAGCACCGGCUAACUACGUGCCAGCAGCCGCGGUGAUACGUAGGGUGCAAGCGUUGUCCGGAAUUAUUGGGCGUAAAGAGCUCGUAGGCGGUUUGUCGCGUCUGCUGUGAAAACCCGAGGUUCAACCUCGGGCCUGCAGUGGGUACGGGCAAACUAGAGUGCGGUAGGGGAGAUUGGAAUUCCUGGUGUAGCGGUGGAAUGCGCAGAUAUCAGGAGAAACACCGAUGGCGAAGGCAGAUCUCUGGGCCGUAACUGACGCUGAGGAGCGAAAGCAUGGGGAGCGAACA
rnacentral:rRNA from 1 species